rnacentral:lncRNA from 1 species
CUCUUGGAUUGCUUCUGAAGCCUGAUCGCCUGUUCCAAAACUGCAGAGCCGCUGGAGGGCUUCCCAGCUGCCUGGGUCUCGCCCAGCACUGACUACAGGUGACCUAACUCUGCCUCGGGUUUCCAGAACAAGUUAGAGACACGGACAAGGUCCUACCGGAGCUGGGCUAAAAGUAGGGCUCAGUGGGCCUGGCCAAGGAGACAGGCACAGCCACAGCUUCGUGACCAGCCCGGGGACUGUGCUGCUUUGAGACACCUGAGGCAAGG